rnacentral:rRNA from 1 species
CAGAUAUCGGGAGGAACACCAGUGGCGAAGGCGGUUCUCUGGACCUUUCCUGACGCUGAGAAGCGAAAGCGUGGGGAGCAAACAGGCUUAGAUACCCUGGUAGUCCACGCUGUAAACGGUGGGUACUAGGUGUGGGGGACAUUCCACGUUCUCUGUGCCGUAGCUAACGCAUUAAGUACCCCGCCUGGGGAGUCGGCCGCAAGGCUAAAACUCAAAGGAAUUGACGGGGCCCCGCACAAGCGGCGGAGCAUGCGGAUUAAUUCGAUGCAACGCGAAGAACCUUACCUGGGUUUGACAUAUAUCGGAAACGUUCAGAGAUGGGCGCCCCGUAAGGUCGGUAUACAGGUGGUGCAUGGCUGUCCGCAACUCGUGUCGUGAGAUGUUUGGGUUAAGUCCCGCAACGAGCGCAACCCUCGUCCAAUGUUGCCAGCGGGUUAUGCCGGGGACUCAUUGGAAACCCGCCGGGGUCAACUCGGAGGAGGUGGGAUGACNUCAAGUCAAUCAUGCCCCUUAUGUCCAGGGCUUUNACGCAUGCUUACAAUGGCCGGNUCAAAANAAGUUNGGAACCUUGUNNAGGGUGAGCCGAAUUCUCAAAAAGCCCGGUCUUANUUCGGAAUUGGGGUCUGCAA